AUAUUGAACAAGAUGCUACUGAUCCUGGUGAACUUGGGCUUAUAGAUUUAAUGGCAGCACCAGUUAAACUAGAUAUACAAAGAUACAAAUUCAGAACUAUCUGUGCAACGUGCUUGUCUUUGUUGAACUACUCAGAGUGUCAAGGUUCAUCUUCUUACCUUCAAACUGAGCUACCAACAUAUCUAUAUCUUCUCCGUGAUCUGCAUAACAAAUUAGAUAAUCUGAAUCCUUCAAUCAAGCCUUUUCUUAGUACUUAUAAAGCAAAAUAUACUCCUACUCAUUGCCAUAAAAGUACACAAGAUUUUCUUGACAAAAUCCAGCCACUAUUCUUAGUUUUAAGGAAGCAUCUGGAUGGAGCAGUUUCAAUGAUCAAAGAUGGUAACCGUCUAUUCCAUAAUUUCUGCUUCCUGUUACUUUUACAGUGUUUGAAUUAAUAAUUAGUGGGCUGAGU